rnacentral:rRNA from 1 species
UACACUCCUACGGGAGGCAGCAGUGGGGAAUAUUGCACAAUGGGCGCAAGCCUGAUGCAGCCAUGCCGCGUGUAUGAAGAAGGCCUUCGGGUUGUAAAGUACUUUCAGCGGGGAGGAAGGCAAUACGGUUAAUAACCGUGUUGAUUGACGUUACCCGCAGAAGAAGCACCGGCUAACUCCGUGCCAGCAGCCGCGGUAAUACGGAGGGUGCAAGCGUUAAUCGGAAUUACUGGGCGUAAAGCGCACGCAGGCGGUCUGUCAAGUCGGAUGUGAAAUCCCCGGGCUCAACCUGGGAACUGCAUUCGAAACUGGCAGGCUUGAGUCUUGUAGAGGGGGGUAGAAUUCCAGGUGUAGCGGUGAAAUGCGUAGAGAUCUGGAGGAAUACCGGUGGCGAAGGCGGCCCCCUGGACAAAGACUGACGCUCAGGUGCGAAAGCGUGGGGAGCAAACAGGAUUAGAUACCCUUGUAGUCCCA